rnacentral:tRNA from 1 species
GCCCCGGUAGCUCAGGGGAUAGAGCGUCCGCCUCCUAAGCGGAAGGUCCCGCGUUCGAAUCGCGGUCGGGGCACCA